rnacentral:rRNA from 1 species
CCUACGGGUAGCAGCAGUGAGGAAUAUUGGUCAAUGGGCGGGAGCCUGAACCAGCCAAGUCGCGUGAGGGAUGACGGCCCUAUGGGUUGUAAACCUCUUUUGCCGGGGAGCAAAGUGCCGCACGUGUGCGGUUUGGAGAGUACCCGGAGAAAAAGCAUCGGCUAACUCCGUGCCAGCAGCCGCGGUAAUACGGAGGAUGCGAGCGUUAUCCGGAUUUAUUGGGUUUAAAGGGUGCGCAGGCGGAAUGUCAAGUCAGCGGUAAAAUUUCGGGGCUCAACCCCGUCGUGCAGUUGAAACUGGCGUUCUUGAGUGAGCGAGAGGUAUGCGGAAUGCGUGGUGUAGCGGUGAAAUGCAUAGAUAUCACGCAGAACUCCGAUUGCGAAGGCAGCAUACCGGCGCUCAACUGACGCUCAUGCAUGAAAGCGUGGGUAUCGAACAGGAUUAGAUACCCUUGUAGUC